AUUGAACGCUGGCGGCAGGCUUAACACAUGCAAGUCGAGCGGGGUGAUGGUGCUUGCACUAUCACUUAGCGGCGGACGGGUGAGUAAUGCUUAGGAAUCUGCCUAUUAGUGGGGGACAACAUCUCGAAAGGGAUGCUAAUACCGCAUACGUCCUACGGGAGAAAGCAGGGGAUCACUUGUGACCUUGCGCUAAUAGAUGAGCCUAAGUCGGAUUAGCUAGUUGGUGGGGUAAAGGCCUACCAAGGCGACGAUCUGUAGCGGGUCUGAGAGGAGGAUCCGCCACACUGGGACUGAGACACAGCCCAGACUCCUACGGGAGGCAGCAGUGGGGAAGAUUGGACAAUGGGGGGAACCCUGAUCCAGCCAUGCCGCGUGUGUGAAGAAGGCCUUAUGGUUGUAAAGCACUUUAAGCGAGGAGGAGGCUCUUUUGGUUAAUACCCAAGAUGAGUGGACGUUACUCGCAGAAUAAGCACCGGCUAACUCUGUGCCAGCAGCCGCCGUAA
rnacentral:rRNA from 1 species